UUUCCGUAGGUGAACCUGCGGAAGGAUCAUUAACACGUAUCCCAACGUACAAACCCACCCUAGUUGACACCCGUCACGUCCGGCUGCCGCCCGACUCUACUUGCCAAACGCCCUCCUGCGUCGGUCGACGCGCUGCGGCGGGAGUCGUGGCCAGCCGAUUUUUUCAAACCCCAAACACACUCAAACCAUUGACAAACCAAACCUUGUCGACGAGCCCGCAAGGGCGCGCCGCACAAACAAACCAAAUAACCAAACAACAACUUUUAGCAAUGGAUAUCUUGGUUCUC
rnacentral:misc_RNA from 1 species